AAGCUUGUUGGGUUUGGUUUGU
rnacentral:miRNA from 1 species